rnacentral:rRNA from 1 species
UACGUAGGGACCGAGCGUUGUCCGGAUUCAUUGGGCGUAAAGAGCUCGUAGGCGGCUGUUCAAGUCGAACGUGAAAACUCGGAGCUCAACUCCGAGCCUGCGUUCGAUACUGGACGGCUAGAGUCUGGUAGGGGGAUCUGGAAUUCCUGGUGUAGCGGUGAAAUGCGCAGAUAUCAGGAGGAACACCGGUGGCGAAGGCGGAUCUCUGGGCCUUACCUGACGCUCAGGCGCGAAAGCUAGGGGAGCGAACUGG